CGAACCGACUAAUGUUGAAAAAUUAGCGGAUGAUCUGUGGCUGGGGGUGAAAGGCCAAUCAAACCGGGAGAUAGCUGGUUCUCCCCGAAAGCUAUUUAGGUAGCGCCUCGUGAAUUCAUCUCCGGGGGUAGAGCACUGUUUCGGCUAGGGGGCCAUCCCGGCUUACCAACCCGAUGCAAACUGCGAAUACCGGAGAAUGUUAUCACGGGAGACACACGGCGGGUGCUAACGUCCGUCGUGAAGAGGGAAACAACCCAGACCGCCAGCUAAGGUCCCAAAGUCAUGGUUAAGUGGGAAACGAUGUGGGAAGGCCCAGACAGCCAGGAUGUUGGCUUAGAAGCAGCCAUCAUUUAAAGAAAGCGUAAUAGCUCACUGGUCGAGUCGGCCUGCGCGGAAGAUGUAACGGGGCUAAACCAUGCACCGAAGCUGCGGCAGCGAACGUAUCACCCAAGACAACUUUACGGAGUUGACGAUUGACGGAGCGAAGCGACGUCAAAGCGUUCAUUAAAGUCGAGUUGGCUUAGGGAUACGUUCGUUGGGUAGGGGAGCGUUCUGUAAGCCUGUGAAGGUGUGUCGUGAGGCAUGCUGGAGGUAUCAGAAGUGCGAAUGCUGACAUAAGUAACGAUAAAGCGGGUGAAAAGCCCGCUCGCCGGAAGACCAAGGGUUCCUGUCCAACGUUAAUCGGGGCAGGGUGAGUCGACCCCUAAGGCGAGGCCGAAAGGCGUAGUCGAUGGGAAACGGGUUAAUAUUCCCGUACUUGGUGUUACUGCGAAGGGGGGACGGAGAAGGCUAUGUUGGCCGGGCGACGGUUGUCCCGGUUUAAGCGUGUAGGUGUGUGUUCCAGGUAAAUCCGGUUCACUUUAACACUGAGGCGUGACGACGAGGCACUACGGUGCUGAAGCAACAAAUGCCCUGCUUCCAGGAAAAGCCUCUAAGCAUCAGGUAACAUCAAAUCGUACCCCAAACCGACACAGGUGGUCAGGUAGAGAAUACCAAGGCGCUUGAGAGAACUCGGGUGAAGGAACUAGGCAAAAUGGUGCCGUAACUUCGGGAGAAGGCACGCUGACACGUAGGUGAAGUGAUUUACUCAUGGAGCUGAAGUCAGUCGAAGAUACCAGCUGGCUGCAACUGUUUAUUAAAAACACAGCACUGUGCAAACACGAAAGUGGACGUAUACGGUGUGACGCCUGCCCGGUGCCGGAAGGUUAAUUGAUGGGGUCAGCGCAAGCGAAGCUCCUGAUCGAAGCCCCGGUAAACGGCGGCCGUAACUAUAACGGUCCUAAGGUAGCGAAAUUCCUUGUCGGGUAAGUUCCGACCUGCACGAAUGGCGUAAUGAUGGCCAGGCUGUCUCCACCCGAGACUCAGUGAAAUUGAACUCGCUGUGAAGAUGCAGUGUACCCGCGGCAAGACGGAAAGACCCCGUGAACCUUUACUAUAGCUUGACACUGAACAUUGAGCCUUGAUGUGUAGGAUAGGUGGGAGGCUUUGAAGUGUGGACGCCAGUCUGCAUGGAGCCGACCUUGAAAUACCACCCUUUAAUGUUUGAUGUUCUAACGUGGACCCGUAAUCCGGGUUGCGGACAGUGUCUGGUGGGUAGUUUGACUGGGGCGGUCUCCUCCUAAAGAGUAACGGAGGAGCACGAAGGUUGGCUAAUCCUGGUCGGACAUCAGGAGGUUAGUGCAAUGGCAUAAGCCAGCUUGACUGCGAGCGUGACGGCGCGAGCAGGUGCGAAAGCAGGUCAUAGUGAUCCGGUGGUUCUGAAUGGAAGGGCCAUCGCUCAACGGAUAAAAGGUACUCCGGGGAUAACAGGCUGAUACCGCCCAAGAGUUCAUAUCGACGGCGGUGUUUGGCACCUCGAUGUCGGCUCAUCACAUCCUGGGGCUGAAGUAGGUCCCAAGGGUAUGGCUGUUCGCCAUUUAAAGUGGUACGCGAGCUGGGUUUAGAACGUCGUGAGACAGUUCGGUCCCUAUCUGCCGUGGGCGCUGGAGAACUGAGGGGGGCUGCUCCUAGUACGAGAGGACCGGAGUGGACGCAUCACUGGUGUUCGGGUUGUCAUGCCAAUGGCACUGCCCGGUAGCUAAAUGCGGAAGAGAUAAGUGCUGAAAGCAUCUAAGCACGAAACUUGCCCCGAGAUGAGUUCUCCCUGAGACUUAGAGUCUCCUGAAGGAACGUUGAAGACGACGACGUUGAUAGGCCGGGUGUGUAAGCGCAGCGAUGCGUUGAGCUAACCGGUACUAAUGAACCGUGAGGCUUAACCUUACA
rnacentral:rRNA from 1 species